rnacentral:misc_RNA from 1 species
GCCGACCAUAAAAGAGAGUCUUUUUCUUCUCUAAAGAAAAAAGAAAAAAUAAAGACCCUUUAGGUUCACUCUGGAUUUUUAUUUUCACUUCUCUUCUUCUUGAUUGUUCUUCUGUGCUUCGUUUUUAUCUUUGAAUUUUAGACUUUUUUUUUGGGGUAUCACAUGGCGAGGCUGCUGGUUCAUUCAACUAAUGUUCCUAUGAUAGUUUCUGGUAUAAAGCAUGGCCAAUCUCAAGAAUUUGAAACAUCAACAAGGAUGACCACCAAAAUGAUGUGCAGUUCACGGUCACCAACAUUGAUAUUGAGAGGAUUCUCAGGCCUGCGAAGUUCAAACUGUUUAGACACAUUGCUAAAUUCCGGACAUGAUUUCCAUUCCAGGGUUGCAAUCACAAUGUCAUGCAGGCAACAGAAGGCUAAGCGAUUUUUACCUAGGGCUAUGUUUGAGCGCUUCACAGAAAAAGCAAUUAAAGUGAUUAUGCUUGCCCAGGAGGAAGCAAGACGGCUUGGUCACAACUUUGUUGGCACAGAGCAAAUCCUGCUGGGUCUUAUUGGUGAAGGAACUGGUAUUGCUGCAAAGGUGCUUAAAUCUAUGGGAAUCAAUCUUAAGGAUGCACGUGUAGAAGUGGAGAAGAUUAUAGGGAGGGGCAGCGGAUUUGUUGCAGUGGAAAUUCCAUUUACUCCUCGUGCAAAGCG